rnacentral:rRNA from 1 species
AUUGAACGCUGGCGGCAUGCCUUACACAUGCAAGUCGAACGGCAGCGGGGGAGAAGCUUGCUUUUCCUGCCGGCGAGUGGCGAACAGGUGAGUAAUACAUCGGAACGUGCCCUGUAGUGGGGGAUAACUAGUCGAAAGAUUAGCUAAUACCGCAUACGACCUGAGGGUGAAAGUGGGGGACCGCAAGGCCUCAUGCUAUAGGAGCGGCCGAUGUCUGAUUAGCUAGUUGGUGGGGUAAAGGCCUACCAAGGCGACGAUCAGUAGCUGGUCUGAGAGGACGAUCAGCCACACUGGGACUGAGACACGGCCCAGACUCCUACGGGAGGCAGCAGUGGGGAAUUUUGGACAAUGGGCGAAAGCCUGAUCCAGCAAUGCCGCGUGUGUGAAGAAGGCCUUCAGGUUGUAAAGCACUUUUGUCCGGAAAGAAAUCGCGCUGGUUAAUACCUGGCGUGGAUGACGGUACCGGAAGAAUAAGCACCGGCUAACUACGUGCCAGCCGCCGCAGUAA